rnacentral:rRNA from 1 species
GACGAACGCUGGCGGCGUGCUUAACACAUGCAAGUCGAACGGAAAGGCCCUGCUUGUGUGGGGUGCUCGAGGGGCGAACGGGGGAGUAACACGUGAGUAACCUGCCCUUGACUUUGGGAUAACUUCAGGAAACUGGGGCUAAUACCGGAUAGGAGCUCCUGCUGCAUGGAGGGGGUUGGAAAGUUUCGGCGGUUGGGGAUGGACUCGCGGCUUAUCAGCUGGUUGGUGGGGUAGUGGCUUACCAAGGCUUUGACGGGUAGCCGGCCUGAGAGGGUGACCGGCCACAUUGGUCCUGCGAUACGGCCCAGACUCCUACGGGAGGCAGCAGUGGGGAAUAUUGCACAAUGGGCGGAAGCCUGAUGCAGCAACGCCGCGUGCGUGAUGACGGCCUUCGGGUUGUAAACCGCUUUCGCCUGUGACGAAGCGUGAGUGACGGUAAUGGGUAAAGAAGCACCGGCUAACUACGUG